UGAUAUCCUUCUCAUCAUUUAUAUUUGAUUCCUUGGAGAUUCAUAAAGAAGGUUAGGAAAUUUUGGUUCUACUGCCAGAGCAUACUUUAUCUUUCCAUUUCCAUCAAUCCAUCUUGAUGUGUGAUCGGGUUGCUGUGUGAUGCUGUUAGCUAUUGAUAUGGUGUCUGCUUACGUCUGUUCCAGUCUUGCUCCUUCGGCCCUUCAACAACAGUUCACCGAUUAAUUU